rnacentral:lncRNA from 10 species
GCCCACUCAUGUGAUACAGGAUAAUCUCUGCAUCACAGAAUCCUUAACCACACAUGCAAAAUCUAUGUUACCAAAUAGAGUAACAUUCACAGGUUCCAAGCAGCAGGAUACAGCAUUUUUGGGUCACCAGUUUUCUGCCUACCACAUGUUCGGAAAGAUGCAUUGAAAGGUUUCAGCUAAAGAGAUCCCUAAACAUAAAUGAGUCUCUGAAUUCCAACCAGCAUCUAGAGGGACUACUAAACACUGCCAUAAUACAGUCCACUAGGAAAGAUCCUUCACCUGUCCUGGAGGGAAGAAGUCAAUAAAUGCAGAACUGCAAAGGACUCCUAAAAGAAAAACAACAACAACAACAACAAAAAAACGG